rnacentral:tRNA from 1 species
CUAAGUAGAGCUUGAAUAGCCUUUAAUUGUUAAUUAAAAAGAAACCAUUAGGUUACUUAGU